CUUGUACUCCCUCUGUCCGGAAAUACUUGUCAUUGAAAUGGAUGUAUCUAGAUGUAUUUUAGUUCUAGACACAUCCAUUUUGAUGACAAGUAAUUCCGGAUGGAAGGAGUACUUG
rnacentral:pre_miRNA from 1 species